CUGAGCCCUGAGGUGCCUCACCGAAAUUCCAGAACAGAUCAUCUGUAGAGAAACGACACAGAAUGCCGCGAAAAGAAACAGCAAGGAAAUUGGAGGAUGCUGACCAUGCACUGGUAUGUUCUGUGUUCCGCUAACCUGACUGCAGUGGGAAUAGAUAUUGACGGCGAAGUGGGAACCGGGAGUGAGGAGGACACCAAACCCAAGGCCAAUGGUAGAGGAAGGCAAGCCGCGGGCA